UACGAGAGGGGGCAAGCGUUAAUCGGAAUUACUGGACGUAAAGGGCGCGUAGGCGGCUGAUCAAGUCAGGUGUGAAAGCCCACGGCUUAACCGUGUGAAGUGCAUCUGAAACUGGUCGGCUUGAGUAUCGGAGAGGAAAGUGGAAUUCCCGGUGUAGAGGUGAAAUUCGUAGAUAUCGGGAGGAAUACCGGUGGCGAAGGCGACUUUCUGGACGAAUACUGACGCUGAGGCGCGAAAGCGUGGGGAGCAAACAGGAUUGAAACCCCUGUAGU
rnacentral:rRNA from 1 species